ensembl:lncRNA
GCAAACAGGGGAAAAAGGCAUGACUUAUUUUGCAUACAGCUAGCCAAACCUGUUUAAACUGUUGUCAUAGCCAAGGCUUUUUAUUGGAACAGAAAACAGCAAGGGUCCAUAGAAAAAUACUGUUGGAAGUUUUUUUUUUUUCCACCAAGGCAGCUCAAGGAGGUUGGACACACAAGUACAGUGGCUCAUUUGGCCCAAGGCCAAGCCAACAUCAAAGUUAGUUCACUAACUUUACAUUCUAGUUAUUAUUAUUAUUCUUCUGACACAGAAUUCCAAACGUAUCUCCUCCUAGGGCUUUUAAGCCACAAGCCCCAAACUCG